CUUACAUUAUAUCAAUUAAGAAAAAAAUAAAUGUAUAGUGCUGAUUAUCAUCAAUUAUGGCUCAGUUUCAAAGACAAUAUACAUCAGAGAACAAAUAUUUCAAGACACUAACAAACAGAUAUUUCGUGAAACACAUAACACCUCUCAUGGUCAUUAGCAGCUCAAAAAGGAACCGUAAUGGCUGUGAAUAAGAGAACUUAAGAACAUGAAAUAUCAUAAGAAGAUACAUGGCUGUUCCAAUGCCACAAUCAAACUUUCCUCUGCAAGUUGUAAACAGGCUAAGAACUUCACUUUCCUAGGCAUUUUCGUCUUAAAUGGAAUCCACAAUCAACAAUAAUGCAACAAAUGAUGCUGUUCUCACAAGAACUUGCCCAUCAAAGGCAAAAAAGAUCUAAAAAAGUGACUGACAAUGAACAUUUUCAAGCGUUAACAUUUCCUUUUAUUCCUCAUUAAAGAAGAAAAGACUUUCGUAUAGCAUAUAUAUAUAUA
rnacentral:lncRNA from 1 species